UGCCCCCUCUGGUCCUCUCUCUCCCCUCUUCACAUCCAAGAAGUUGGGCGUCCAUCUGAUGCUUGUCCAAGGCGUGGUGGCUCCUUGAUCAGAAGGCUGCAGGGAUUUGUUGAGAAGCUGCUGCUCCAGCUUCAGAAGAUCUUUUGAAGAUCUUUCAGAUCAGAUCCAGAUCUAAUUUUUGGAGUAGAGAUUUGCGAGGAGAAGACAAUCUAGAUCUUACUCGAGUGGAUACCGGUAGAGACUAGACGACUGCGUGGC
rnacentral:lncRNA from 1 species